rnacentral:rRNA from 1 species
CAGUAGCCGCGGUAAUACGUAGGUCCCGAGCGUUGUCCGGAUUUAUUGGGCGUAAAGCGAGCGCAGGCGGUUAGAUAAGUCUGAAGUUAAAGGCUGUGGCUUAACCAUAGUACGCUUUGGAAACUGUUUAACUUGAGUGCAAGAGGGGAGGGUGGAAUUCCAUGUGUAGCGGUGAAAUGCGUAGAUAUAUGGAGGAACACCGGUGGCGAAAGCGGCUCUCUGGCUUGUAACUGACGCCGAGGCUCGAAAGCGUGGGGAGCAAACAGGAUUAGAUACCCCAGUAGUCCCUGUCUCUUAUACC